rnacentral:rRNA from 1 species
UGANUUGAGUGCAGAAGGGGAGAGUGGAAUUCCAUGUGUAGCGGUGAAAUGCGUAGAUAUAUGGAGGAACACCAGUGGCGAAAGCGGCUCUCUGGUCUGUCACUGACGCUGAGGCUCGAAAGCGUGGGUAGCGAACAGGAUUAGAUACCCUGGUAGUNCACGCCGUAAACGAUGAGUGCUAGGUGUUAGGCCCUUUCCGGGGCUUAGUGCCGGAGCUAACGCAAUAAGCACUCCGCCUGGGGAGUACGACCGCAAGGUUGAAACUCAAAGGAAUUGACGGGGGCCCGCACAAGCGGUGGAGCAUGUGGUUUAAUUCGAAGCAACGCGAAGAACCUUACCAGGUCUUGACAUCCCGAUGCUAUUCUUAGAGAUAGGAAGUUACUUCGGUACAUCGGAGACAGGUGGUGCAUGGUUGUCGUCAGCUCGUGUCGUGAGAUGUUGGGUUAAGUCCCGCAACGAGCGCAACCCUUAUUGUUAGUUGCCAUCAUUAAGUUGGGCACUCUAGCGAGACUGCCGGUAAUAAACCGGAGGAAGGUGGGGAUGACGUCAAAUCAUCAUGCCCCUUAUGACCUGGGCUACACACGUGCUACAAUGGUCGGUACAACGAGUUGCGAGCCGGUGACGGCAAGCUAAUCUCUGAAAGCCGAUCUCAGUUCGGAUUGGAGGCUGCAACUCGCCUCCAUGAAGUCGGAAUCGCUAGUAAUCGCGGAUCAGCACGCCGCGGUGAAUACGUUCCCGGGCCUUGUACACACC